GAAGGUUCGUCCGCCCUGGGUUAGUCGGGACCUAAGCUGAGGCCGAAAGGCGUAGGUGAUGGACAACAGGUUGAUAUUCCUGUACUACCGAUAACCGUUUGAGAGAUGGGAUGACACAGUAGGAUAAGCUAAGCACACUGUUGGUUAUGUGUGCCCAAGCAUUGAGGCAGUCAAAGUAGGCAAAUCCGCUUUGAUAAUGCUGGGAUGUGAUGG
rnacentral:rRNA from 1 species